rnacentral:lncRNA from 1 species
UCUGGUACCACGACAGCAUGAGAACAUGGCACUCUCCUUCAAAGAAGACAACUCCCUCCACAUUACAGUCAAAGACCCAGAGAAGCAUUCCAGGAACAAAGCAGCAGGCAGCUCGCGAACACAAACCCGGGGCCAGCCGCCUAUUGCUGCUGCUGCCGCUGCCGCCGCCGCCGCCGCCGCUGCCUCCGCCGGCUCUGCGAACCUGGGACUUUUCAUGCACCACACUCUCCGCCUGCUUCCCUCCGUGUCCUGAAAAGUGCGACCGUUCUCCCAAGGAAUUUCCACGGCAAGUAUGGAGAUCAGAAAGGGGUGUGGACGUGUGUGCGUACCCAAGAGG